UGUUGAAUACAGAAGAGGUUUUUGUUGUUAAAUCAGCCUGACAGUACGUCAAAUUUACAGAAAAUCCCAACAAGGUCUACAAAUGGAUAUGGAUUAAAGGUUUACCUUUUAAGAUAGCCUUUUUCAUAUGGAGACUCUAGAAGUUUAAACUAACAGUGGAUGAUAGAUUGAGAAGAUGGAGUAAUAAAGGUCCAUCAAGAUGUUAGUGUUGUACCAAUCCAUCUGUAGAGACACUAGAAUAUGUGUUCUUGAGAUCAAAUAUUGCUAAUAGGACUUGUUUCAACUUCUCCUCAUCUACAGGUUUGGAUAUGGAAUGCCUCAACUUAAGAGAGGUAAUUAUGCUAUGGUGGGGAGAUAAGUUAAG
rnacentral:lncRNA from 1 species